rnacentral:tRNA from 1 species
UCCCUCAUAGCUCAGUCGGUAAAGAAUCUGCCUGCCAUGCAGGAGACCUGGGUUCAAUUCCUAGGUCGGGAA